GGAGCGCUUCAGGUGCUCCAAAUUAGGGAUAAUUCAGCCUAUUAGUCAAAUGAAGUCAAAAAGUUAAUUUGUAGCUGCCAGCUGUUGAAAGGAAACUUAUAAAGCUCCACAGACCUACACAGCCCAGUGGGGGAACGCGGAUGCAGAGCGAUACACGCGGAGGACUUUGAAUAAACACAAUCAACAGUGUCAGCUGAGAAAAGCUUGGCGGUGGCCAGGUGGCCUCAUGGACGAAGAGAUAAUGGAAGUAAUGACGGGGAAAGAAGUGGAGCCAUCCCAUGUCCUGCAAUAUCAUACAACUAAAGCUGCACCAGAGUUGCCAGGGCCUUUGGCAGAUUGCCAGGCGAUAUCCUGCAAAGAUGCCCAUCUCUGUGCAUGCUGGUGAAGUGGCAGUAAG
rnacentral:lncRNA from 1 species